GUUCAGAAUGUGGAUAUGAGCUCUUCUCCAGCAAUUCCAACUUUGAGCAUUCCUCCCCAUGGCCUGCCUUUUCUAACACAAACAAAGAGGCCUAUUUAUAGACUUCAUGACUCAUUGGUCAUUUGCUGCUCUACAGCACCACCACUGUUCUGUGCCAUCUGGCAAACAUUUCUAACUGCGUCAAGAGUAUAAGAGCUCAACUCAGAGAGGACAUUUGCUGAGAAACCAGAGUUGGGCUACAAGACAUUGUAGGCUACCAAGAGUUGAAAUGGGUCUUCCAGCCUUGGGUCUGAUACCGUUUUUGGGGCCCCUUGCGUUUCCAGUAGCAUUGGGAACAGUCGCAGUAGGGGGCUUUAUAUUGAUUAAGGCGAUUCAUAAGAAACCUUCAUAUCAUCCAGGAAGUCCCAUAAUAACACGUUCCGUGAAGGUAAAGUCAAAUGAAGCUUCUGGAAAUGAACCCACUGGAAAUGCUGCCAGCAAGAAGACAGAAGGACAGCCGAGCAGCAAUGAAACUACCAUCAUAAUUGCUUACGGCCUUGGAGUGGUUGACACUUAUAAAAAUGUUAAAAAAGGUAGACCAUCUCAGUUUGGUCUGGGUAACUUUGGCAUGGCAGAGGCAGACCAUAUUCCACCAUUGGCUUCUCUGAGGAUAGCCCGAAACCAUGAACGACUGGAUCGUCUCCUACAAGUGAAUCCAAGGCUUCAUGAGAUGAUCAUGAGCCUUGAUUAUGACCCAACUGGACAGAACCUGUUAACCAUGAGGGUUCUUUACCAGGAUCACAGAGAUGCUCUGACUACUGGAAACAGCAGGGAAUCUCAAGUAUCCAGUCAUCUGCUGGCAGAGACAAUCGUAGACGGAGAUGCUGCACUUAUGCUGAGGAAGGCUUUUAUCAUGGGUCAUCCUAUAUCUUCCUGGCAGCUCAGAGAAGACGCAGGAUUGGCCGCACCAUAUACCGAUGGUAACAUUGACAUGUCUGAUGAAGGAACAAGGCACUACUACAGAUGUGGCUACAUUGAGCUGGUCGAAGCGUACCACAGGAAGGGGAUAAUCAACAAGAAUCAAGCAAAACAGCUCAUUUCAUGGGUGGAAAAAGAGAUGCACCUGGACCGGGAUACCCAAGAGUAUAAGGAGAUCCUUGAUUACAUUAAACGUCAUGUUCGUGUUUUCCGGUGGUAGAAAUGGCAAACAAACUCAGACAACACAGAGUAAAUACAGAUUGUGUAAUCUAACAUGCUGACCAGACCGGACACGUCGCGCGCGCGUCGCAAAAUACAUUUAGAAAUACAUUUAUGUACGAUAGCGCACGUGCAUAGAUGUUUGGGUCCGUGUAACGGGAGUUCCCAAGUAAAAAACGUUUCUAUGAUAUGCAAAUUAUGGAAUUCAGUAUAGUUGGAUUCUAGUUUGAAAUAUACUAAUUCAUGUUGCCAUUCUAGAACUCAUUGAUUAAUUUGCAUGUAUAAGGAAAGCAUAUGCUGGGGUCAAGGAAGGGUAGAUAGGGAUUUAUGGAAAGUUACAGUGUAGAAAGUUCAUAUUCUGCUCCAUGUUUCUAAGGAGGGAGUCGAAGGGCAAUAGUCUCUGAUAAGGCAGGCCAGCUGAGAAACUAGGGAGGGGCGAGGAAUGCAUCUUGAGGUCAAGUCAACAAAUGAAGUGAUAAGAAAACUCUGGGAGGCAGGCCAGAGAGACCCACCACAAUGACUCUCCUACUUAUGAGGAUUCUGUGUUAUGCAACAUAGCUGAUUUGAAACAUUGUUAACAGUUUCAGGACCAUGGGCCUUUCUCAUGAUGGAAAAAUACAAAAUAACAUAAAAACGGACACAUACAGAACAUAGUGUAGCAAACCACAGACUGUUUUUGUUACAACUCAAACUUAACAAUAACAGAAACCAGAUAUGUGAUAACGGUAUCUAGGGAAUGAGCGCAUAGAUACUCGACACAGCAAGUUACAUCUAUCAACUGGAGCGCCCGGGGGCUGGUACCAGCUCGUACGACAACAAUCAACGAUAGGCUGGGUGAGUUUAAACCACGCCCAGUCUCUACUCUGACAGGCCGGCUCGGAAGCCGGAACUACUACUGUCACCAGGGUAUAUUAUAAUAUCUUUGUCAGGAACAAGUCAGUUCUCUGUUUUGCCCUGCGAGGUGGGACAGAGAGCUUGUAUAUACGAAAAUUGCAUUUACCAUUUAUUGCUUAGCUACUAAAAAAUACAUAGUAUACAAUCGGCGACUCAUUGUCAUAUUUAUCCUGAUACCAGAUUCGAAUUGACGCAACUCUAACAUACUGCAGUCCUAUUUCACACAUAUACUUCCAUGCAUGAAGGUUUUAGUAUCAGGCAGUGCUAUAACUACACCAGUGAGAGGGACAAUUGCGUUUCUGCCUAGCAACAGCGAUGUAUUGGCUGUCUAGAUGUGUAAGGACAUUAUCCCACAUAUUAGAAGGUAAUAAAUAUAUCUGCUUGUGUAAUCAUGCCUUGUCUUUGCAGCUGUAUGACCCAGUGGGUGAAUAAACUUGGUUUGAGCUUUGUGUAGUCGUCCGUUUGAGUUUUUGCUCCGUUUGUUCAGAAUCUAACAGUAUAAAUAUCAUAAUGAGGAGUAUAAUUUAUUGUUCAUAAUUGUUGCAACGUUUUUUUGGCCUACUGUAUAGUCUGUGCCUGGUUGAUUAUGUUCAGCAGUGUACUAGUAGUAGAUCCAGUCUGCCUGUUGCAUUUGGUAAAUGUACAGCCUAUAGAUUCUCUGCAAAAUGUUUAGAUUUCCUGAUUCUCUGCAGUUAUUGUAACAUUAUGCAGUGUGCACUAGCUCAAUGCCUGGGAAAACCGUCAUUAAAAUAUCAUCUAUUUUGGAAGCAGCAGACAGUGAGUGGACAUUACUUUCUUAUUUGUAUUAAAUCUUCUGUUUGUCGUGUGUAAAGUUUAGCUGUUUGUAAAACCCUCUACUUCCACAGAUCCUUCAUCUACCUGAAGAGUGCAGUAGCAGGUGUCCACCUGUUGAUGGUGCCGUCCUCCUUCAUAAUACAACUCUGAGGUCCUGGUAAAUAAAUGUGAUCAACGCUGCUGUGUGUUUUGUCCAUAAUUAUGACACACCAAUGGACAAUUGUAAUGAUGUACGCUGAGAGUCAGAUUAAAAAGGCC
ensembl:lncRNA